rnacentral:rRNA from 1 species
UACAGAGGUCCCGAGCGUUGUUCGGAUUCACUGGGCGUAAAGGGUGCGUAGGUGGUGAGGUAAGUCGGAUGUGAAAUCUCCGGGCUCAACCCGGAAAUGGCAUUGGAAACUACCUUGCUUGAGGAUUGAGGGGGGGAUUGGAAUACUUGGUGUAGCAGUGAAAUGCGUAGAUAUCAAGUGGAACACCAGUGGCGAAGGCGAAUCCCUGGAAAAUACCUGACACUGAGGCACGAAAGCUAGGGAGCAAACAGGAGUUAGAAAAGCCCU